rnacentral:siRNA from 1 species
CUGUCGUAGCCGAACAUCACUA